rnacentral:rRNA from 1 species
AUUGAACGCUGGCGGCAUGCCUAACACAUGCAAGUCGAACGGUAACAGGCCCUUCGGGUGCUGACGAGUGGCGGAUGGGUGAGUAAUACUUAGGAAUCUACCCUGUAGUGGGGGACAACCCGGGGAAACUCGGGCUAAUACCGCAUACGCUCUACGGAGGAAAGCGGGGACCGCAAGGCCUCGCGCUAUUGGAUGAGCCUAAGCCCGAUUAGCUAGUUGGUGGGGUAAUAGCCACCAAGGCAAUGAUCGGUAGCUGGUCUGAGAGGACGACCAGCCACACUGGGACUGAGACACGGCCCAGACUCCUACGGGAGGCAGCAGUGGGGAAUAUUGGACAAUGGGCGAAAGCCUGAUCCAGCGAUGCCGCGUGUGUGAAGAAGGCCUGGCGGGUUAGUAAAGCACUUUCAGUAGGAACGAAUCUGACGGU